rnacentral:lncRNA from 10 species
GCGCGCUGAGGCCUCGGCCUCGCGCGGGGCUGGAGGCGGCCUGUGGGCAGCCACCGCCCUCUCCCGGCUUUCUCAGGGCGCCUGGGACACCGGCUUUCUAACAUUUUUACAGCUCAGCGAUUCUCAAGAGUUUUGUUUCUCCAGUGGAAGUAACAGGCUGACUUUGUAGGGACACGCAGCCGUCCAUAUAUGCGUAUAGCAUUCAGAGGUUCUUCCUGUAAGGACCGAUUUGGAAGACUCGUUAAGAAAACAGUGUUCUUUAAGCAAACAUUGGCAAUGGAUUUAAAUGCUCAGAUUUUGAAGAAAUCAACGACUGCAGGUGAAAUGGCUUUGCUAACUUUAAAAUAUAUUAUUAUUCAACAUUGAAACAGGAAAUCCCACAUGAGCACAUGGACACUCCUUGGUGUUGAAACGUUGCAGGAGUCCUCUUCUGGUUGGUGCCAGCAUGUCAUGAAGCAGUAUCUGUAAACCAGGCCUUAGUUUUUUUCCUCUUAGCUGAUGAAGAAGAAUCCUCUCAUGAGACCAUAGGCAUGGACUGAAGGAGAGGCAGCAAGACCUCAGGAGUAAGUGUUGUAAGAUAUUGAGUCACUUGC